rnacentral:lncRNA from 1 species
AAGAGAGGGGUAACAUUUAAACAUUCCACAGGAAAUGCUGUUGCAGUGCCACAAGGGGAAAAUCAUGCUGAUCACGCAGCUGGAAUUAUUAGUAAUGUGGACACAUUGAAUAUUGAUACUCUUGAUGAUUCAUAUGCAAAUGAAGAUACAGUAAGUGGAGAUAACAGAGAAGAUGAUUUCGGAAAACCCUCUUUGACUUCUGAUCUUGCCGUUGAUAAAGCUACUUCAAAUGGAAAUACCAUUUUAGUUAAAACUACAAAUGACGAUGACGAUGAUAAUGACAAUGAUGAUGAAACAAGUAACUCUGCUGUAAAUGUUGAUGAGAGUCUGAGCAAAAGCCAAUCAAAUGUUGCUGGCGAUUUAUCUUAUUCCAGAGACGGAGAAUCGCUCAGAGAUGAAGAUUCAACACAAGCAAA